rnacentral:rRNA from 1 species
GAUGAGCGCUAGCGAUAGGCUUAACACAUGCAAGUCGAGGGGUAACGUGUUGGAAGCUUGCUUCCGAUGACGACGACCGGCGGAUGGGUGCGUAACGCGUAUGCAACUUGCCUCACAGUGGAGAAUAACCCGGAGAAAUCCGGACUAAUACUCCAUACACUCUUAAGUACGCCUGUACAUGAGAGGAAAGAUUUAUCGCUGUGAGAUAGGCAUGCGUCCUAUUAGGUAGUUGGUGAGGUAACGGCUCACCAAGCCGACGAUAGGUAGGGGUGCUGAGAGGCAGAUCCCCCACAUUGGGACUGAGACACGGCCCAAACUCCUACGGGAGGCAGCAGUGAGGAAUAUUGGUCAAUGGAGGAAACUCUGAACCAGCCAAGUCGCGUGAAGGAAGAAUGUCCUAAGGAUUGUAAACUUCUUUAGCGAGCGAGUAAGGACUUCCACGUGAUGGGAGUUUGAAAGUAGCUCGAGAAUAAGUAUCGGCUAACUCCGUG